rnacentral:rRNA from 1 species
AGGGAAAAGCUCAAAUUUAAAAUCUGGCAGCCUUGGCUGUCUGAGUUGUAAAUUAGAGAAGUGCUAUCCGUGCUGGCCUGUGCAAAAGUCUCUUGGAAAAGGGCAUCAUAGAGGGUGAUAAUCCCGUCUUUGGCACAGAUCCCAGGGCCCUUGUGAUACGCUUUCAAA